rnacentral:rRNA from 1 species
CUACGGGAGGCAGCAGUGGGGAAUAUUGGACAAUGGGCGAAAGCCUGAUCCAGCCACGCCGCGUGAGUGAUGAAGGCCUUCGGGUUGUAAAGCUCUGUGGGGAGGGAAGAAAACGGCCGGUAAGAAACGAUCGGUCCUUGACGGUACCUCCUUAGCAAGCACCGGCUAACUCUGUGCCAGCAGCCGCGGUAAUACAGAGGGUGCGAACGUUGCUCGGAAUCACUGGGCGUAAAGCGCGUGUAGGCGGAUCGGCAAGUCAGAUGUGAAAGCCCUGAGCUCAACUUGGGAAUUGCAUCUGAAACUGCCGGUCUUGAGUGUCGGAGAGGGUAGCGGAAUUCCUGGUGUAGAGGUGAAAUUCGUAGAUAUCAGGAGGAACACCGGUGGCGAAGGCGGCUACCUGGACGACUACUGACGCUGAGACGCGAAAGCGUGGGGAGCAAACAGGAUUAGAAACCCGUGUAGUCC